rnacentral:rRNA from 1 species
GACAGAGGUCCCGAGCGUUAGGCGGAAUCACUGGGCUUAAAGCGUGUGUAGGCGGAUGCCUAAGUACCUUGUGAAAUCCCACGGCUCACCCGUGGAACUGCCGGGCAUACUGGCGAUCUUGAGGCAUUCAGGGGCGAGCGGAACAAGUGGUGGAGCGGUGAAAUGCGUAGAUAUCACUUGGAACGCCAAUGGUGAAAACAGCUCGCUGGGAAUGAUCUGACACUGAGACGCGAAAGCCAGGGGAGCGAACGGG